GAUGAACGCUGGCGGCGUGCCUAAUACAUGCAAGUCGAGCGAAGCGGGGACGGGUGAGUAACACGUUGAUAACCUCCUAUAAGACUGGGAUAACUUCGGGAAACCUGAGCUAAUCCGGAUACUUUUAGAUGGUUCCGCGCUGCAUUAGCGAGUUGGGAAGUUAACGGCUUACCAAGGCAACGAUGCAUAACGGACCUGAGAGGGUGAUGGGCCAGACUGAGACUGAAACGCGGUACAGACUCCGACGGGAGGCAGCAGUAGGGAAUCUUCCGCAGUGGGCGAAAGCCUGACGGAGAAACGCCGCGUGAGUGAUGAAGGUCUUCGGAUCUUAAAACUCUGUUGUUAGGGAAGCGGUACAGAAUCAGAAAGCCACGGCUAACUACGUGCCAGCAGCCGCGGUAAUUC
rnacentral:rRNA from 1 species